GUAAAAGAAAGGUAUUAAUAAUUUAACUUCAAAAUGCGCUGUUUAUCAUCGAAAGUCAUCUUUUGCCUACUACUGACAAUUAUUGUUACUAGCGCCUCGUCGACCUCUUAUUCCGAGACGUCUUCAUUGCUUCCAAGUUUCCAUAAAACAUGUCCAUUUAUUUAAAAAAUUUUAUUGUUUUCAUAUAAUUUCUUUGAAAUAAUUUUUAUUUUUAUUUAUAGUUUCAAAAUUUAAAUUAAUUAAAAUUAAAUAAAAAUUGGAACUCCAAUGAUAUCAAUGAUAUUAAGAAGAUCGACUGUAGCUCCAUCUUUCAAGAAUAUGUGAGUUUUUAAGGUGCUAAAUUUCAUUUGGAAAUGCAUGCCUUGCAAUGGUCCUAAUGGAUCCUGUCGUCCCAGGUAGAAAUUUCAACUCAGUACUGACCAGUCACUGACAAGUUUUUCUAGAUACUGGCAAGUAAUUGACCAAGUAACUGGACAGUUUUCUACUCAAAAUCUAAAAUAAAAUAUAAUUUUUCCAAUUACUG